AGCCCUAAGUGGGUGGUAAACUCCAUCUAAGGCUAAAUAUGACCACGAGACCGAUAGCGAACAAGUACCGUGAGGGAAAGUUGAAAAGCACUUUGAAGAGAGAGUUCAAGAGUACGUGAAACCGUUUAGGGGUAAACCUGAGAAACCCGAAAGGUCGAAGGGAGAAAUUCAUUCGCGUUUCGCUGUCGGCGUGAGACGGGAUUGUGUGACGGAGAACGUGUUCGCACGUUUUCCGCGCCUUCCGUUUUUCGAACCGAUGGUGAACGCGUGCACUUUUCUCCUGGUAGGACGUCGCGAUCCGUUGGGUGUCGGUCUACGGCUCGUGGUGGAGCCCGACAGUACGGCUUGCCGUUACGGUCGGACCCACGUGUCCUGGCUGACUCGCUCGACGGUAUGCGAAAGGUUUAAGGCCGCUCUCGGAGCGUUCGACUCGUGGCAAGCGCGUCAGAUGUGUGUCGGCGACCGGACCUAGUGCCGGUUCUGACCUCUGAUGACUGUUGGCUGCGAAGUUCUCGAACAGACCUCUAACCGAUCUGCGACGCUAUAGCUUUGGGUACUUUCAG
rnacentral:rRNA from 1 species